GUCUAGUUGAGCUAGCUCAGUCGGUAGAGCAUGAGGCUCUUAAUCUCAAGUUUGUGGGUUCGAGCCCCAUGUUGGGCA